rnacentral:rRNA from 1 species
GAGUUUGAUCAUGGCUCAGAACGAACGCUGGCGGCGUGCCUAACACAUGCAAGUCGAACGAGAAAGUCCCUUUCGGGGGGCGAGUAAAGUGGCAGAAGGGUGAGUAACACGUAAGGAACCUGCCUUCGAUACUGGAAUAACAUGGCGAAAGUCGUGCUAAUACCGGAUACGAUCAUAAAGCUUAUGCCGAAUGAUGAAAGAUAGCCUCUGCUUGCAAGCUUUCGAUCGAAGAGGGUCUUGCGGCCUAUUAGCUAGUUGGUGAGGUAAUGGCCCACCAAGGCAACAAUGGGUAGCCGGCCUGAGAGGGCGAACGGCCACACUGGAACUGAGACACGGUCCAGACUCCUACGGGAGGCAGCAGUGGGGAAUCUUGCGCAAUGGGGGCAACCCUGACGCAGCAACGCCGCGUGGGUGAUGAAGGUCUUCGGAUUGUAAAACCCUGUCACGAGGGACGAAGUAUAGGUGGUUUAACAGACCAUUUAUUUGACGGUACCUUGAGAGGAAACCCCGGCUAACUCCGUGCCAGCAGCCGCGGUAAUACGGAGGGGGUAAGCGUUGUUCGGAAUUACUGGGCGUAAAGAGCACGUAGGUGGUCUUGCAAGUCGUGUGUGAAAUCCCUUGGCUUAACCAAGGAAUUGCGCUCGAAACUACAUGACUAGAGUACAGG